AACGAACGCUGGCGGCGUGGAUUAGGCAUGCAAGUCGAACGCGAAAGAGGGGGCAACCCCUUGAGUAGAGUGGCGAACGGGUGAGUAACGCGUGAGAAACCUGCCUUCGACAGGGGGAUAACACUCCUAACGGGGUGCUAAUACCGCAUGAGACCACGGAGUCGCAUGGCUCCGAGGUCAAAGGUGGCCUCUAUUUAUAAGCUACCGGUCGAAGAUGGUCUCGCGUCCCAUUAGCUAGUUGGCGGUGUAAAAGACCACCAAGGCGACGAUGGGUAGCUGGUCUGAGAGGAUGGUCAGCCACACUGGGACUGAGAUACGGCCCAGACUCCUACGGGAGGCAGCAGUCGAGAGGCUUCGGCAAUGGGGGAAACCCUGACCGAGCGACGCCGCGUGAGGGAUGAAGGCCCUUGGGUUGUAAACCUCUUUUGUUCGGGAAGAAGUGCGAUCAGGUGAACAAUCUGGUCGUUUGACGGUACCGGACGAAUAAGCUCCGGCUAACUCCGUGCCAGCAGCCG
rnacentral:rRNA from 1 species